GUAUAUAUACAUACAUAAGCCUGGAAUGAUACAGAAAAGAUAAGCAUGAACUCUGAGCAAAGGUGACGCACAAAUUCAUGAAAUAUUCCGUAUUUUU
ensembl:snRNA U6 U6 spliceosomal RNA